rnacentral:rRNA from 1 species
AUGAACGCUGGCGGCAUGCCUUACACAUGCAAGUCGAACGGCAGCACGGGUGCUUGCACCUGGUGGCGAGUGGCGAACGGGUGAGUAAUACAUCGGAACAUGUCCUGUAGUGGGGGAUAGCCCGGCGAAAGCCGGAUUAAUACCGCAUACGAUCUACGGAUGAAAGCGGGGGACCUUCGGGCCUCGCGCUAUAGGGUUGGCCGAUGGCUGAUUAGCUAGUUGGUGGGGUAAAGGCCCACCAAGGCGACGAUCAGUAGCUGGUCUGAGAGGACGACCAGCCACACUGGGACUGAGACACGGCCCAGACUCCUACGGGAGGCAGCAGUGGGGAAUUUUGGACAAUGGGCGAAAGCCUGAUCCAGCAAUGCCGCGUGUGUGAAGAAGGCCUUCGGGUUGUAAAGCACUUUUGUCCGGAAAGAAAUCCUUGGCCCUAAUACGGUCGGGGGAUGACGGUACCGGAAGAAUAAGCACCGGCUAACUACGUG